rnacentral:rRNA from 1 species
UACGUAGGUGACAAGCGUUGUCCGGAUUUACUGGGCGUAAAGGGCGCGUAGGCGGCCCUCCUUGUCGCGUGUGAAAGCCCCGGGCUCAACCUGGGAACGGCGCGCGAGACGGGGGGGCUGGAGUUCGGGAGAGGAGCGUGGAAUUCCCAGUGUAGAGGUGAAAUUCGUAGAUAUUGGGAAGAACACCGGUGGCGAAGGCGGCGCUCUGGACCGAGACUGACGCUGAGGCGCGAAAGCGUGGGGAGCAAACAGG